AGCUCCAAUAGCGUAUAUUAAAAUUGUUGCGGUUAAAACGCUCGUAGUUGGAUAUUUGUUGAAGAAUGGCGGUCCAUCCCAGUGGUGAGUACUCGGUAUAUCUUCGACAUCUUACUGGGGACAGUGUUCGCACUUAACUGUGUGGCACAUGAUCCAGAACUUUUACUUUGAGGAAAUGAGAGUGUUUCAAGCAGGCAUGUGCCGUGAAUAUGUUAGCAUGGAAUAAUAGCAUAGGAUCUCGGUUCGAUGCUGUUGGUUGUCGAGCCGAGGUAAUAAAAAUAGGGAUAGUUGGGGGCAUUCGUAUUUAAAUGUCAGAGGUGAAAUUCUUGGAUUAUUUAAAGACGGACUACUGCGAAAGCAUCUGCCCAGGAUGUUUUUA
rnacentral:rRNA from 1 species